GGAGUUGCUGGGGAAUUAAUCUAUAGACAAAAAGGCAGCCAAUUGGGGGAUUAAUACACAUUGAUACACACGGAACCGAGAGGAAGAAAAACCAUAGAAAAGCUGGUUGGAAAUAAGAGAUUUCACAUUGGAUUCCAAGAAAGGCUGCCGGCUGAGUUUUUUGUGCAACUUUCUUCAAUAAUUGUGCAAGGAGCUUGAAAAUUGAAUCACUUCCCGUCGAUUUUCGGUGAUUUCCUUCCACUUUUAUUUGUUUAAUUCAACAUGAUGCUAGGCUAAAUCUUUACAUAUUUGCGCACCAUUAGGAUAAUAAAUUGCUUAUUCGUAGUGUUGGAAAACUCAUGAUAGCUAGAGAACUAUUAUUAGGACACACGGACAAUAAAUAUUAGGAAUAAUAUUUGUGACGUUUAUGAUUAUAUGUGAAUUUUUAAAUGUCAAUGCAUGUUUGCCAUAUGAAUUUGGAUUAGGAAUAUGAUCGUCUUGUGGUAAUCAUAGGUUUAUCAUAUCUUAGAAAAGAAUAAUAAAUAAAAGUGAAAUUAUCGAUUGUCGCAAUGGCAAAAAAUUUACGUAGUUAUUACUGGUUGAGAAUUAGAAUUAAGUAUUGAUCAUUGGCGUCAAAAAUCUAAUACGUUGACACAUUUGAUUUUUAAACCAACUUUCAUUGUUUUCGCAAGUUUUAGUUAUAAAAAUUCGUUAGCUAUUCAUUCGAUCUUUUUUAUUACAAACACGAAUUUAAAUAUAUCAAAUAUAUUAGAAUUGAUCAUUAUUUCAUGUGGGACAAUAACUCUUUCAUCAUGAUCAUUACUUAUACAACGAACCCAUAUGUUUGUGAAAUUUUGACGAACAGUGCUUAUUAACUCUAACUUUAACCUAUGUUUGUCUCUUUCUUUUCUACUGCAUUAAAUAUUAGCAUCAAGUUUAGAUUAAAUUGAUUUCAUAUACUUCUAUAACAACUUAAUCUACUUUGGUCCGGUGUAAAUAUAGGUGCUGACCUUUUAUUCUACAUUUUCUGAAAGGGAUUGCUUUUGAAGAAGAAUGCAAAAUUUCUGAACUUUAAGAAUGAUUUUUGUUUUUGGAAAUGGGAUUGCUUCUAACAAAAUCCAUUGCUUUGAGACCUGUUUUUUUUUGUAAGUCAGUAAAUCUUGUUUAACACGGUCAUCCAUAUUUUAUAGGCUCUUCAACAUGCAAAAGAAGCCCUGAGGUUACGAAAGAAGCUUUUAGCUAAAAUGUUUUUUUUACUUAAUUGUGAAAAGGAAAGAAUUUUAUGAAUAAGAGUGGAAAUGUUAAAGGAAUACAUGAGUAUUGAGGCGUUAGAGAUUUCUUAUCUAGUAACGAUUGAUUUUUUUUUGGGGGGGGAGCAAUUCUUGUGAAUUUGACUACAUUAUUACUCCUUGGAAUGUACUUAGCAUUUACCUUGAUCGCGUCUUUUAGGUAUAGAAUUCUUUAAUUCAAAUAUUUUGGUUAAAACUUUAUAUGAAAUAAUGUUUCUGUUAUAUAUCAUUAUUUUAUUUCAAUUAUUUGUGAGUCAGAGGUUGCAAGCAUAAAUGAGAAUAUAGGAAUUGCGCAAGAAGCUCAAACUUCUUUACUAUGGGAAAAAGCAUCUUCCAAUUUCAGGUUUGACACUUUUUGGAAUUUAUUUUUCUUCUAUGUUCAGAUGAUUGCUUUAUUUUUUUUCCCCUUACUUUAUCAUAAUUUAACCAAAGAUAUUAAUGGUAUGUUUGAUUGCAAGUAUGAAAUUUACAUGAAAAGAAAAUAAUUUCUAGGAAAAUUGUCAAUUAAAGUGUUUGAUUGAUUUUAUUUUCAACCUAGAAAAUGUUAUACUUGUCAAUUUUUUAUUAAUAGGUAAAUAGGAGAGAGGGGGAGGGAGUAGAUGAGAGAGAAAAAAAGAAUGAAUUACCUAGAAAAUAAAAAUCUACUCUCGAGGAACAUAUUUUCCUUGUUUUGAAGGAAAAUAUAGUCAUGUGACCAAAAGUAGGAAAAUAUUUUUCAUGGAAAAAAUCAAUCAAAAUAGCUAUGAAGUAGGAAUUUGGGUAGAAAAAUAUUGGAAAUUAAACGCACUAUUAACUUAUAUUAAAACUUUAUCCUGAAGAUUAUACGGCAAAAGGUUUUGUUGGAGCCAGUUAGAAAAUGUGUUAUGUAGUAUAUGAUAAUCGCGCAGUUAUUACUUGUACGAAAUGUUCAAAUUCUCUGAAAGUGACAAUUAAUUAGGAAACGAGAGAUUUACUUUUAUGUAAAUCUUAUAGGAAUGUAGAAAGGUCGCCUAUCAAUGAAUUAUAUCGUGUUAAAUAUAUGUACAUAUUGACAUUAAAUAAGUUAAUUUCUUCUGAGUGGAGGCAUGUUGACUAUAAGUCAUUGGAUAAGAGAGUUCAUUUGAUGAUUGUGUAAAAGAGACUCAGAGCUUGUUUGAGAGUAAUUUUUCAUCCCAAAAAAAUUGAUCUUUUGAUCGUUAUUUCACUAUUCCAGCUGUGAAGUUUGACUUCUUCUCUCAUGGGUGGCUCUCACUUUUCUCCCAACGGUCACAAAAUUAAUUUUCAAAAUCAUUCCCAAACGGGGUCUAAGAAGAAAUUACAGUAUGAUAUACUCGAUCUUGUAUUGACUAGUUUUGAGACUAAUCAAAUUUAUCGCCUUUGUGACUAGAUAUGUUGGCGGUGUGUUUAUCUUGAAACUGUUAAAUUUGAUUCUUUGAGGAUGUUUAUAUACAUGAACUGUGACCUUGUCCAAAAAAAGCUUUUUCUAAAGCUACUGAUUAGGUUGGGUAAUAUGAUAUUUAAUUAUUUUCAAUUUUUAAUCGGUCCAUGUUUUUCUAUUUAUCUUAUCAAAUUUAAUCCAUUAGUACUUGCUAGCAUUUGAAUAUAUGAAAUUGUACAGUAAAUUGCAAGUUCUGCCAUAUAAGAUAUUGUAAAAAAAUUGGUAAUAUACCAUCGUUUACGCUUUCUUUAAUUACGACUUUAUCCUCCUCCUAGCAUAGCCUCAUGCUUUGAUCCAAAAAUUGACUAAGGAUAGAAGCAAGCUACAUGCAUUAGAAACCGCUUUCGUUUUAUGGAAAUGGGAUCCCCAAUAGCUAGAGACAAAAGAUUCAUAUGAGAAAACAUAAGUAAAUGGGCCUCCACCUGAGCCUCCAAAGAUAAAGGUACAUGAAUAGCCAUUUGAUCCCUAUCAAAAUCUGCAUUGAAUUCCUUACAAACUAAUGGAUGUAAACAAAUAGCGUGCCCUUCACUAAAACGGGCUGGAAUGCUUGUAUGCCUAAUCUAUGUAGAGUGGGUGCUCUAAUCAGCAAUACAGGAUGCCCUUGCAUAAUUUCCUGAAGCAUUUCCCUUACAAUCUUUCCUUUUUCCCGAAUUUUACUCUUAGCAACUCCUAUGUUCGGAGCAAGAUGUCUAAUUAGACCAUGAAUUACAAAUGUCUGGAAAAGCUCUAUUGCUAUUUCGCGCUACAAUCCACAUCGAUGUAAUGAAAGUGAAGGACCCACGACAAUGACGAAACGACCUGAAUAUUGGGUUAUCCAUUUUUUGUAAGUUAUUAUUUAACCUCAUUAUUUGAAAUUUUAGAGUAAUGCUAUAUAGCCACAUUGAGUUGCAACCCUAGUUUAGCUGAUUUUAGAUGAUAGACUAAAUGAAAGGUAAAAUUAAAUGACUUAUUUAAUUCCACUUAUUAUUUAAUGUCUAGUUAACGCCACCUAGACUGGGGCUGUAACCCUAGUGGGGUUAAUAGGAUUACUCAAAAUUAUAUGGUUGGGAUAUUGUUGUUGAUAUUGGGAUUUUUUUUUUUAAAUUGUGUGAUUGAAAAAGAAGAAAUUUUUUUGGGAUUAUGUAUAAUAUUAUUUUAUUGAAAAAUGUAUAUUUGAUAAGAAGAUAGAGAAAAAUGAAUUAUAAUUUUAAUAGGGCUAAACACGGGUUAAAUAAUGUAUGCAAGUUGCAGAGCUUGUAAAGAUUGUUUUCUCAGAUGGUAAUAGUCAUUAUCUUUAAUCAUACCAUUUUUUUAUUUAACAUUUAAUUGUAUUUAUUAUGCUGGGAAUUUUUGGGACUUGUAUGGUGAAAAGCAUUUGGCAGAUCAACUUUUUCGAAGUACAUCAAUUUUGUUUGGCAAUAGUUCAUCGUGUUCCCAUCAAAUUUCUACGCCUAAUGCUUUGUUUACUAACUUGAUUAGAAUCAAUUUUCCUAGGGAUGUGUUAGCUGUUGAACAAGCCAAUUUGCUGUGUUAUAUAUGUAGGUUCACUUUUAAUACUCAUCCGGAGACCAGAUAUAUAAUAAAAAUAUUUUUGAUCUUCAUGUUACCAAUAAUAUAAAUGAUUGUUUUAAUGUAUCUUGUUAUUGUAAAGUAGAGUACUUUGUAUUGAUAUUUGCACAUCGAGAAAGGUCAUUUAUACUUAAGUCGGCCUUUAUAAUUUGUUGUGACGUUUCUAUACUUUUUCAAAAGGUUAGACUGUGAUUUUUCUCCCAUUGUUGUUAUUUAAAUGCUAAUGUAAUGAGAGAGGAAUGUUUCACCUUUACUUAAUGAAUUUCUUCUUUUUCCUUUUUUAAUUAAAUUUAAAAUAAUGAAUUAUGAAAAUUGGCUUCAUAUGCACCAGCCUUUGUGCAGGGAAGGCAUGUGUGCAGGCUAAGAUGAACAUAUUUUCGUUUGCUUAUUUUCAUAAAUUUAUAAUUAUGCUACUCUUCAAAUACACUCUUAAGCACUUUGAAGCUAUGUUCUUAGAAUUUAACUCAUUGAGUUGUUGUUUGUCUAUCAUUCUCCAAAAAUUCUUUUUUUUUUUUUCCUUUUUAAACCCAUUUUCAAUCAUACAUUAUCAUAAUGAAAUAUUUUGCAUGUGAAUUCAAAAUUUUUCUUACCUUUCAACCACACAUUAUCAGAAAAAUACUAUUUCAAAACUUAUUCUCCCAAAAAAUUCUUUCUAAUAUGCAUCAAAUAAGUGUUGAUGUCGAUAUAAUAAGAUUGUAUUGUUCUUCUAUUGUCAAAAUAUAGAUUCUAGUGUUCAAUUUGAAUUUAAAUAAUUAAUAUAUUAUACUUUUGCAACUGGAUAAAAUAUUGAAAGGUGUUUUAAUUCAAAAACUAUGGGAUUUGUAAUAUAAUGCAUUCUUUGUGAAAAAUGGUAAAGCUUGAUUCUUUUGUACUUUUACAUUACAAAUGACACAGGUUCCGAAUAAGGUGUCUCCCAAUGCAACGGUUUUGUUAAUAGUUGGACAUCACAUUGUGGUUCCAUUGUUGUAGAUGACAUAACUCCAAAGUUCAUAGAAAUUAUGGAGAGUCGACUAGAAUGCUUUGAAAAUGACCCAAAUAUUGAAGAUUGAGAGUCUGUGUGUUCGUUGUUUUCCAAAUUGUAUACAGUUGAUAACAUCAUCCAUCAAUUGUUGUAGUAAAUUUUUUAGAUUGAUUUUAAUGUAUUCAUUCAUGGAAUACUUUACAUUUGUAUCGUGGCAUCAAUUUGCUUGUUUAUGUUAGGAAUCUUAGUUCAUAGCAGGAAAUUUAUUAACUUUAAAAUGAUAGAUUGUUUAUUUUUUUAUUCAAUUAGUCACGUGCUUGGAAACAUGUCAUGUUGGGGCAGUGUUCAAGUUUUGAACAUCUUGUAUUUAGGAAAGAGAUGUUAUGUUUUCAUCAAGAUAUUCAGUAAAUAUCUCUCGCCUAUGGAUAAAUAUUUUUUUCUGAAUACAAGGUGUUCAGAGCUUGGCCAUUGCCCCCAGCAUUAUAUGUUUUCAAGUACCAAUUGAAUAAAAAUAAAUAAUCCAUCAUUUUAGCGAUAGUGAAUUCGCUGUUAUAAACCAAGGUUCCUAGCAUAAUCAAGUAAAUUAAUAAUUCUCAUUGAUUUCACUACACAAAUGUAAAGUGAUUCAUGAAUGAAUACAUUAAAAUCCAUCUAAAGAAUUCAAUUGACGGAUACUGUUAUCAAUUGUAUACAUUUUAAAAAACAAUGAAUGCAGACUCUAUCUUUAAUAUUUUGGUUGUCUUCAAAGCAUUGCAGUUGACUCUCCAUAAUCUUUGUGAACUUUGGAGUAUGUCAUCGACAAAAGUGGAACCCCAACGUGUCGUCAAAUUAUUGACAAAAUCAUUAUAUUGGGGUAAAAGAAUUAGACUUUACCAUAUUUCACAAAGAAUGCAUGAUGUUCCGAAUCCCACAUUUUUUUAAUUAAAGUUCCUUCCAAUGGAGAAGUAUAAUAUAUUGAUUAUCUAAAUUCAAAUUGGAUACUAGAAUUCAUGUUUUGACAACGGAAGAACCAUACAAUCUCAUCAUAUCAGUAUCAGCACCUAUUUGAUGUUUAUUAGAAAUAAUUUUUUUGGGAAAAAUGAGUUUUGGAAUGGUAAUUUUUUUUUUUUUUUGAUAACAUUGUUGAAAGGUAAUAAAAUAUUUUAUUGUGAGAAUGUGAUUGAAAGUGAGUUAAAAAAAGAGUUUUUUGGGGAACGAUAGACAAAUAAGACUUAAAUGCCAAUAAUCACAGCUUCAAAGUGUUUUAGUAUUUGGGAAUGAUAUCAUUUUAAAUUUAUGAAACUAAGUAGAUAAAGAUAUUUUUAUCUUGGUCUUUUCACAUGCCAAAGGUUGAUGCAUAUGGAAGUCAAUUUUAAUAAUUUAUCAUAUUAAAUUUAAUAUAAAAGAAGAAAUUCAUCAAGUAAAGGUAAGACAUUUCUCUCUCAUUACAAUAUCAUUUAAAUAAUAACAAUGGGAGAAAAAUCGUGGUAGAACCUUUUGAAAAUGUACAUGAAAUUCACGAUAAUUUAUAAAUGUUGACUUCAGUAGAGACGACUUUUGAUAUCUCAAUGUGUAAAAUCUCACAACAAACUACUCUGCUUUACAAAAAUAUGGUACAUUAAAACAAUUAUUUAUAUUAUUUGUAACAUGAGGAUCAAAAAUAUUUUUAUUAUGUAUAUGUAUUAUAAGUGAAACUGCGUAUAUGAUACAACAGAUUGGUUUGUUCAACAGCUAACACAUACUCAGGAAAAUUGAUUCCAAUCGAGUUAGUAAACAAAGAAUUAGGCGGAGAAGUUUAAUGGGAACACAUGAACCAUUGCUGUACAAAAUUGAUAUACUUCAGAAAAAAAGUUGAUGCGUCAAAUGCUUUAUACCAUACAAGCCAUAAAAAUUUCGUGCAUAAUAAAUAUAGUUAAAUAUUAAAGAAAAAUGAAUGGUAUGAUUCAAUAUAGCGAUUGUUUCAAUCUCAGAAAAACAAGCUUUGUAGUGUGCAUCAUUUAGCCUUUGUUUGUCCCUAUUGAAAUUAUAAAUUUUUUCUCUAUCUUCUUAUCAACCAUAUAUUCUUUAAUAAAAUAAUAUUACACGUUAUCCUAAAACUUUUUUUCUUUUUUAAUCACACAAUUAAAAAAAACACUAUUCCAACCAUUAAAAUUUCUAAUUAUGGGGGUUAAAUAGUGACUUACUAAAAAUGGAUAAUCAAAGACAAAGGGUGUAUAAUCAAAGCAGGAGGCUAUGCCAGAAGAAGAGUAAAGUCGUAAUAAAAGAAAAUAUAUACGACCUGAUAUGUUAGAACUUGUCAUUGAAUGCACAAUUCCAUGUAUUCACAUACUAGUGAGUACUAACGGAUUAAGUUCGAUAAACUAAAUAGAAAAAAAUGGACCGGUAAAAAAUUGAAAAUAAUAGAAUAUCAUCUUACCCAAACUAAUUUGUAUCUUUAGAAAAAGCUUUCUUCGGACGAAGUCUUAGUUCAUGCAUAUAAAUUUCCUCAAAGAACCAAAUUUAACAGCUUCGAGUUGAACACAUUGCCAACAUAUUAUCUGGUCACAAAGGCGAUUAAUUUGAUUGGUCUCAAAACUAGUCAAUACAUGAUCGGAUAUAUCAUGUUGUAAUUUCUUCUUAUUCUCUUUUGCAAAAUCAUCAAAUGAACUCUCUGCGCCAAUGACUUGUAGCGCCCAAACUUUUUCGAGAUCGGGGUUAGAAUGCCUCCACUCAGAAAAAUUAACUUAUUUAAUGCCAAUAUGUAGAAAUGUUUAAUGGCGGCCUUUUUUACAUUUCUAUAAGAUUUACAUUUUAUGUAAAUCUUACAUUUCCUGAUUAAUGAUCACUUCCAGAGUAUUUGCACAUUUUGCAUAAGUAAUAAUUGCGUGAUUAUUAUCCACUGCAUAGCUCAUUUUCUAAUUGACUCCAACAAAAUCUUUUGCUAUAUAGUCUUCGUGACAAAAUUUUAAAUAGAAGUUAAAAUCUUUAGUUGAAUUAUGAUAAAGUAAUGGAAACGAAUAAAACAACCAACUUAACAUUUAAAAAAAAAAAAGAGUAAAUUUCAAAAAGUGUCAAUCCUUAAAUUGAGAGAUGCUCUUCCGCCACAUUAAAGAAGCUUAAGCUUCUUGCAUAUUUUCUAUAUUCUCAUAUAUGCUUGUGAUUCAUAAAUAAUUAAGAUAAAAUAAUGAUAUAUAACAUAAGCAUUCCAUCCUACAUAUAAAAGAGUGGAAGAAUUAACGGGUUUCAAGAUGUCAAUAGUUGAGUAGUUCUCACUUUGUGUGUUUGACCUGUUGAUUAGUGGUGUUUCUUAAAAACAUUUUUUUCAUUCUAUCUGUCGAUUGUAUCCUUAGUUCUAAUAUUCCAGUUAAGCAAAAGAUCAUUUGUUACACAAAGAACUAUUUAAGUGAUUUUUGUUGUUGAAUAAUAAGAGGCUACAUCAUAAGUUUGAGUUACAUAGAUGAGUAAUAUUGUUCAUACUACUCGCAUUCACAGAUCCUUUAUCAGCUCCUCCAGCAACUGUAGUUUUUUGGUUAAUUUGAUUGCAUCUUCUUUUAUGCAUGUUUAUUUGUUAAUGUUAGCUGUCAAUUGCUUUUGUCGUUUUAGUAAUUCUAUUUUCAGUAACCUUUGGUCUAUUUCCUACUACUGGAUUGAAAUUUUUAAUCAUUACAUUGUGUCAAGUUUCGAAUUGUUUUUUCAACAAUGUCAUCUUGGAGUAUUACGCUAGAUUCCUAUCUUAUGAUGAUUUCGAUAUUCCUUUUCCAAUUGUCAUGCUAUUAUCAAUAUUAAGGUGAUAAUUUCAGAUAGGUUUGAUCAUUGAAGACUUUAUAUGAGAAGACCGAUUGUCAACAUGGCCCAUUGUUGAAAUUGGCUCUACAAUGAAAUGUUGUGCUCAGUGCUCUAGGGGUGCUACUGAUCAGUCCUUACAACAUGUGAUGUCAAUCUUCUAUUGAUUUGUGACUUUGUUUAAAGCUACAACACUUUUUACAUUGCAAAUGUUGUUUGUUCUUUUCUGAUAACAGUGAUUCUUCCUAUUUCUUAAAAUUCUUCUGAAUGUUGGUAGUAUCUAUUGUUUUAACAAUUUC
rnacentral:lncRNA from 1 species